rnacentral:miRNA from 1 species
AGCUGCCUGGUAAAGAGCUGUC